rnacentral:lncRNA from 1 species
ACCUCAAGGUGGCUGUCAACAACUCGUCAAUUGUUGAGAUGACAGCAACCUGCCCUUCAAGUGGACCACAGCUUGAAAUAGGCACCAGAACAAGACAGCAGACCUUGUGCAAUGCACUCUCCCACGGGCCUCCCAUUCCAAUUUCCCCUUUUUAAGCCUUUCUCCCCAGCCUAAAGUUUUAAGAGGUUUCUGGAGGCGUAAGGAUUCUAUUUAUGUUUAAUGAACAAAAAAAUUAGUUUCAAUGAAAACUUUAUUUGAAAUGAUGAAUUCAAGCUGUUACCAGCCUCCCAAGUAAGAUGCCAGAGACUUCAAACACUGCUGUUGUUUCUCAAGGAAAAGAUCCAGUUAACAAGGAAUCAUUCUCUCUUCUUCAAUAGCUGCUUACGAAAUAAAAACAUCAGUAGGAGGGGAAGGAGGAAGGAAGGAGAAGAAAGAGGAAGAAUAGGAGGAGAAGAGGAAGAGAGGAAGAAGUCGUGAACAGCCCUCCUGCAUUUUGCAUCAGGUAGAAAAGUCAGUUGAAUGUUGGGAAGAACACAAAUAAAAAUGCAAGAGAACAGCUAUCUUCACAGAUCCCGGAACAAAGGACAAAGGAUAGAACUAAAAGCGCCCCCCACCCGCCGCCCGGCACCAAAGGAGUCAUAUCUGAUUACUUCCUUUGGAAAGGCUAAUCAGAAACUGAAAAGAAUGUAACUGUUUGUGUCUCACCUAUCUGUGACCUGGAAGCUCCCUCCCAGCUUUGAGUCUUCCUGCCUUUGCUUCCAGUUGUUCUGCCUUUCCAGACCCAACCAAUGUACUUCUUAUAUCUAUUGAUUGAUGUCUCAUGUCUCCCUAAAUGUAAAAAUCAAGCUGUGCCCCAACUGCCUUGGGCACAUGCUAUCAGGACCUCCUGAGGCUGUGUCAUGGAUGCGUCCUCAACCUUGGCAAA